AUUACUCCCUUUCCAAAACACACGACAGCUCCCAAAAAACAAAAAAAAAUCAAAAUUGAAAAGAAGUAAAGGAGAAAUGUAAUCCAUUUUCACCUUAAAACAUACACCCCAAAUAUUUAAAGCAUAAACAAUUGAGAAUCAAAUUCCCUUUUCAAAAUAAGAUACCGUCGGCUCUCUCUCCCAGAAUCGCAACACCAAAAGACCAGAAAAAAGUUAGAGCUCCGUUGCUUUCUCCAAAUCACCGCUGCACCGGAGUCGACGCCACUGCUGACUCCGAUUCGUCGCCCGCACCCACCGCCGUAGCAGCCGCUGCGUCGCCUCUCCAGCGGUCUCGACUUCAUCCGAAGCAGCCCCGUUUCCACCCCGAUUAACCCCGCAGAUAAGUUCUUAGUUUGAUUUUGUGAAAUAAUGUUCGAUUCUUUGAUUUAUGUUGUUCUAAUUAGAGUUUUGCUACGGUUACUGGUUUCAUGAGAUGCACAAAUAUGGGAUUGGAUUUGGGUGGGGAAAGUGUAUACCUGCAACAAUUUGGGACGAGUUGCUGUAAACAAAAGAGGUUGGGGUGAAGAGAUGAGGGAGCGUGAGACGUGGGAGGGGAGUAAUUUUGGUGUUUGAUUUGCUUAAAGAGGAAAAUCACGGUAGAGGGGAAGAUACCUGCAAUUAGGCCUGCUUAAUCGGUUCUCCGGUUCUCGGGUACCCGGAACCAGAACCGAGACCGACCGGGUAAUUGAGGAACCGGGAACCGGAGAACCGGUUCCGGUUCCGGUACCGGUUCUAGUAUUUUUCAAACUUUUCGGUUCCGGUUCUACCCGGAACCGACCGGUUCUUACCCGGAACCGGAUAAUAUAUUAAUUUCAGAUUUUUAAUUUUAGUUUUAAUAAAAUUUAAUAUUUUUACUUAAAUAAAAGUAAUCCUAUUCCUAACUUCCUAGCCA